UACGAAGGGGGCUAGCGUUGUUCGGAAUCACUGGGCGUAAAGCGCGCGUAGGCGGAUUGUUAAGUCGGGGGUGAAAUCCUGAGGCUCAACCUCAGAACUGCCUUCGAUACUGGCGAUCUUGAGUCCGGGAGAGGUGAGUGGAACUCCUAGUGUAGAGGUGAAAUUCGUAGAUAUUAGGAAGAACACCAGUGGCGAAGGCGGCUCACUGGCCCGGUACUGACGCUCAUGUGCGACAGCGUGGGGAGCAAACAGG
rnacentral:rRNA from 1 species